rnacentral:rRNA from 1 species
CCUACGGGUGGCUGCAGUGGGGAAUUUUCCGCAAUGGGCGAAAGCCUGACGGAGCAAUACCGCGUGAGGGACGAAGGCUUUUGGGUCGUAAACCUCUUUUCUCAAGGAAGAAUUAGACGGUACUUGAGGAAUAAGCAUCGGCUAACUCCGUGCCAGCAGCCGCGGUAAUACGGAGGAUGCAAGCGUUAUCCGGAAUGAUUGGGCGUAAAGCGUCCGCAGGUGGUUUUGUAAGUCUGCUGUUAAAGCGUUAGGCUCAACCUAAUAAGGGCAGUGGA